rnacentral:rRNA from 1 species
UCCCGUCCGAUCAAUCAUAGUUAAGCCAGUGAGAGCCUUCAUAAGUACUACGGUGGGAGACCACGUGGGAACAUAAGGUGCUGCAGUCU